rnacentral:rRNA from 1 species
CGCGAAGAACCUUACCUGGUCUUGACAUCCACAGAACUUUCCAGAGAUGGAUUGGUGCCUUCGGGAACUGUGAGACAGGUGCUGCAUGGCUGUCGUCAGCUCGUGUUGUGAAAUGUUGGGUUAAGUCCCGCAACGAGCGCAACCCUUAUCCUUUGUUGCCAGCGGUCCGGCCGGGAACUCAAAGGAGACUGCCAGUGAUAAACUGGAGGAAGGUGGGGAUGACGUCAAGUCAUCAUGGCCCUUACGACCAGGGCUACACACGUGCUACAAUGGCGCAUACAAAGAGAAGCGACCUCGCGGGAGCAAGCGGACCUCAUAAAGUGCGUCGUAGUCCGGAUUGGAGUCUGCAACUCGACUCCAUGAAGUCGGAAUCGCUAGUAAUCGUGGAUCAGAAUGCCACGGUGAAUACGUUCCCGGGUCUUGUACACACC